rnacentral:rRNA from 1 species
UGCCAGCAGCCGCGGUAAUACGGAGGGGGUUAGCGUUGUUCGGAAUUACUGGGCGUAAAGCGCACGUAGGCGGAUUAGAAAGUUGGGGGUGAAAUCCCGAGGCUCAACCUCGGAACUGCCCUCAAUACUACCAGUCUAGAGUUCGGGAGAGGUGAGUGGAAUUCCUAGUGUAGAGGUGAAAUUCGUAGAUAUUAGGAAGAACACCAGUGGCGAAGGCGGCUCACUGGACCGAUACUGACGCUGAGGAGCGAAAGCGUGGGGAGCAAACAGGAUUAGAUA